UCUUUUUGAGUGAUAUUUAAGUCAAUCUGCCCACUGAAAAAUUUUGAAGGGCCGCAGUAUUAAUUGUGCUAAGGUAGCAUAAUAAUUAGUCUUUUAAUUGAAGACUAGAAUGAAUGAUUAGACGAAGAAUAUGUUGUUUAUUAUUUAUAUAUAUAGAAUUUAUUUUUUUAAUUAAAAAAUUAAAAUAUUUUAAAAAGACGAGAAGACCCUAUAGAUCUUUAUAUAACAAUAAAAUAAUUUAAAGUUAUAUUUAAUUGGGGUGAUUAAAAAAUUUAUUUAACUUUUUAAAUUAGAUAUACAUUAAUUUUUGAGUUUAUUUAUUAUGAUCUAUUAUUAUAAAUUAAGAUUAAGAUACCUUAGGGAUAACAGCGUAAUUUUAAUUUUAAGUUCUUAUUAAAAUUAAAGAUUGCGACCUCGAUGUUGGAUUAAAAUUAAUUUUAAAUGCAGUAGUAUAAUGAUUAGGUCUGUUCGACCUUUAAAUUUUUA
rnacentral:rRNA from 1 species